GGCUAUGGCCAUACCACCCUGAAUACAUCCCAUGUCAUCUGAUCUCAGAAGUCAAGCAGGGUUGGGCCUGGUUAGUAUUUGGGGAAGGGGGAAAAUAGAUAAACUCACAUUGAGUGUAACCU
rfam:Mesocricetus auratus contig202760, whole genome shotgun sequence.